UACGUAGGGGGCGAGCGUUGUCCGGAUUUAUUGGGCGUAAAGCGCUCGCAGGUGGUUCGUUGCGUCGUGCGUGAAAGACCCCGGCUCAACUGGGGAGUGUCGUGCGAUACGGGCGAACUGGAGGCCAGUAGGGGGAUGCGGAAUUCCGGGUGUAGUGGUGGAAUGCGUAGAGAUCCGGAGGAACACCAGCGGCGAAGGCGGCAUCCUGGACUGGUCCUGACACUCAGGAGCGAAAGCGUGGGGAGCGAUCCGG
rnacentral:rRNA from 1 species